GACGAACGCUGGCGGCGUGCUUAACACAUGCAAGUCGAACGGAAAGGCCCUGCUUUUGUGGGGUGCUCGAGUGGCGAACGGGUGAGUAACACGUGAGUAACCUGCCCUUGACUUUGGGAUAACUUCAGGAAACUGGGGCUAAUACCGGAUAGGAGCUCCUGCUGCAUGGUGGGGGUUGGAAAGUUUCGGCGGUUGGGGAUGGACUCGCGGCUUAUCAGCUUGUUGGUGGGGUAGUGGCUUACCAAGGCUUUGACGGGUAGCCGGCCUGAGAGGGUGACCGGCCACAUGGGGACUGAGAUACGGCCCAGACUCCUACGGGAGGCAGCAGUGGGGAAUAUUGCACAAUGGGCGGAAGCCUGAUGCAGCAACGCCCGGUGCGGGAAGACGGCCUUCGGGUUGUAAACCGCUUUCGCAUGUGACGAAGCGUGAGUGACGGUAAUGGGUAAAGAAGCACCGGCUAACUACGUG
rnacentral:rRNA from 1 species